UACCAGCACCCCGAGUGGUCGGGACGAUUAUUGGGCCUAAAGCAUCCGUAGCCGGUUCUGCAAGUCCCCCGUUAAAUCCAGCUGCUCAACAGAUGGGCCGCGGAGGAUACUCCAGAGCUAGGAGGCAGGAGAGGCAAGCGGUACUCAGUGGGUAGGGGUAAAAUCCGUUGAUCCAUUGAAGACCACCAGUGGCGAAGGCGGCUUGCCCAGAAUGCGCUCGACGGUGAGGGAUGAAAGCUGGGGGAAGCAAACCGGG
rnacentral:rRNA from 1 species